rnacentral:rRNA from 1 species
AGCAGCCGCGGUAAUUCCAGCUCCAAUAGCGUAUAUUAAAGUUGUUGCAGUUAAAAAGCUCGUAGUUGAAUUUCGGGAUCAGACUGUCGGUCGUGCCUCGGUACGCACUGGCAUUAUUGGUUCCUACCUUCUGAAGAACCGCGAUGUCAUUAAUUUGGUGUCGUGGGGAAUCAGGACUGUUACUUUGAAAAAAUUAGAGUGUUUAAAGCAGGCGCACGCUUGAAUACAUUAGCAUGGAAUAAUAAAAUAGGACGUUUGAUUCUAUUUUGUUGGUUUCUAGGAUCGACGUAAUGAUUAAUAGGGAUAGUUGGGGGCAUUAGUAUUCAAUUGUCAGAGGUGAAAUUCUUGGAUUUAUUGAAGACUAACUACUGCGAAAGCAUUUGCCAAGGAUGUUUUCAUUAAUCAAGAACGAAAGUUAGGGGAUCGAAGACGAUCAGAUACCGUCGUAGUCUUAACCAUAAACUAUGCCGACUAGGGAUCGGAUGAUGUUAAUUUUUUAAUGACUCA